CUGCUAAAUAGACCAGCCGGCUUUGGCUGGCUGCUGUCUUCUUAGAGGGACUAUCAGCGUUUAGCUGAUGGAAGUUUGAGGCAAUAACAGGUCUGUGAUGCCCUUAGAUGUUCUGGGCCGCACGCGCGCUACACUGACAGAGCCAGCGAGUCUACCACCUUUGCCGGAAGGCAUG
rnacentral:rRNA from 1 species